UAAAUUGAAGAGUUUGAUCAUGGCUCAGAUUGAACGCUGGCGGCAGGCGUAACACAUGCAAGUCGGACGGGA
rnacentral:rRNA from 1 species